GACUUCAACUGAAAAAGUCAUCAACAACAAAGUUGUAUAACUCAUCAAUAUAUAUAACUUUUAUUUUUGUCAUUUCUUCAUCCGACAAAGUGAUAGUAACAUUGUUCAUAAAAUUUACAUAUCUCUUAUAUGGUUUUAUAAACUGUAAGAGAAAUAUCUAAUUUCUGUGAACAAUGUUACUAUCACUUUGUCGGAUAAAAAAUGACCAAAAUAAAAGUUAUAGAUAUUGAUGAGUUAUACAAUUUUGUUGUUGAUGAAUUUUUCAGUUGAAAUC
rnacentral:pre_miRNA from 1 species